GUGCUCAUUUUGGCAGCACAUGUACUAAAAUUGGAAUGAUACAGGGAAGAUUAGCAUGGCCCCUGCGCGAGGAUGACAUGCAAAGUCAUGAAGUGUUUCAUAAUUAA
ensembl:snRNA U6 U6 spliceosomal RNA